GUCAGGAUGGCCGAGCGGUCCAAGGCGCUACGUUCAGGUCGCAGUUCUCCAGGCGUGGGUUCAAAACCCACUCCUGACA